UAUGGUCAUAUCACGUUGAAACAUCGAUUCCCGUACGAUUACCGAAUUUAAUCAAAUUCGAACCUGGUCAGUACAUUGAUGGGUGACCGCUUGGGAAUACCAGGUACUGUAAG